CCCUGAAGUGAAACACCAAUAUGCAGAUGAAAGAACCUAGUGGGGAAACCCCCACUCAACUCCCGAUUAGGUGUGCACCCAAGAAUCACGAACAGACCG
rnacentral:pre_miRNA from 7 species